ensembl:lncRNA
CCAACCCAAGCAACCCUGCCAACCAGGCAAUGUGCGCUACAAUCUCACCAUGUAAACAUUCAUAGCGUUAUAGUGUGUGUUCAGUCGUUUUUCUGGUGGUGUUUUUCAAAACGCACGUCAUACAAAUAGGGCUGGCCACAUCUCGCAAUUUCACCAGUACCUUUUCCCAAAAUGUUUUUACCUGCUCGUGAUCUCGCUUCACCCGUUGUCAUGGUGACCAGCAGAGUGUGGAGAAUUGAGUGUUAAGAAGUGUGCGUUCUGAGAGACAGCAGUUCAGACCUCGCCCCCUUGUGACCACAUGAACACGGCGCCGCCUUGAACUAGAUCUCCUGGUUGCUACUUGUCUGCGUCACGGCACUGUGGUGCGCAUAUACUGCCGCUGAUGCUGGGGCCUGUGGGGAAGGAAAGUGUUGAAUGCAAACACAUUUCUUUUUUUAAAGCAGUCUUUAAAAUUGAGUCACUCUUCAAAUGUUAAUUUGUUUAUGUUUGUUUUGUUUGUUUAUGUCGUAUAAACCCCCCCUCAAAAAAAACAGUAAUUGUGGCCUGACUCCAGAGGUGUCCAAACGUUUGCAUUCUACUGUGCCAGUGCCCUACCGAAGUGCAGUGUGAAAGACACCUCUAUACAGAACUAGUAGGGAGGGGUGUAAAGUGAUUGGCUAAUUGAUUUCAAUCAUCAACAAUCUUUCGCCAGACUGCGGACUGCAUUUUUAAGCCUAUUAUUCCUCGUACAGUAACUUAUGAAAACCUAUGUUCCCAGUUCUAGUGAACUGCAGUCUGACCUCUGACGACUUUUUGUCUUUGUCUUUUUUUCCACUUUUCGUCUGCUUCAGAAAAUCAUCAGAUCCAGUCUAGUGUCAGUUGCAAACUCAGCAUUACUUAAAACAAAACGGAGACACUGUAAUGGUGAUUUUUUUUUUUUACCCUCAUUUAAAAAGUGAAAAAAAAGAGAAAAGAAAAUCCCUCAGGACGAAAUCCUCUUCCCUUCCUGAAGAGGGUUACUUUGAGGUGAACACAGAUAUAGAUCUGAGGGCCAAGUCAUCUCCAAAUGGGUUCUGGCAAAAGCUCAGUCAUUAAAGGUUCCCGUAGGAGCAUUAAGGGUUGUUCUGUGGGGAGAAGAUGAAAGUUCCUUUUUUGUGUUGUUAAAAGUUUCUGCGUCCCCUCUGCAAAGCUGAAGAACAUGCCUACUGCUACAGACUGAUGAAGCCGAGAUGGAUGUUCACCUCGCUUGUCGAGUCAUCUGAUGUUUAUAUCCCCUUCUUUCAUUCUUUCUUUCGUUCUUUCUUUCUUUCGUUCUUUCUGUCUUUCUUCCCCAUCCUCUUUUCCUCUUUCUGUUUGCUUGAUUGUUUGAUGUCAUAUUAUUGAAGCCUCUCUCUCUCUCUCUCUCUCUCUCUCUCACAAAAACCUUCAUAAGUCUAUCUGACCAUUCCCUCUCUUUCUCUCUCUCUACCUGACUCUCUCUACCAUUCAUCUCACUGUCUCUCUCCUUCUCUCCCUGAGAGACUCUCACUCUCACUUUAUUUCUCCCUCCCCUCACUCUCUCUCUUUCUCCCUUUCCUCUCUACCUCUCCUCUCUCCCCUCUCCUUCUACCUCUCCUCUCUCUCUAUCUCCCUCUUCUUCUUUUCUCUCGGUUCUCCUUCCCCC